ACAAAGCUAUUAUAAACAUAAAUUAACCCUCUAAUACCCAAAUUUUUGAUUUUGAUCUAAAUAUCAUUUUUCGUCAUCUAAAAUCGAUUUAAACAUGUUUUGGAAGAUGAUUCUUUUUAAUUCUCGAUUUCGUGAAUUUCAGUUUUUGAUUUUUCUAAUUUUUAUUUUUGAACAUCCCCACACUUUUAUAUUUUUCCUGGAAGCCUAUUUGGGGUACGGAUUUUUUGGGAUGAAAACAUUUUGAGAUUUUAUGAUUAUUGUUGAAAUAUUUUUAUUUUAAAUUUUUUUCAUAUAAAAUUUUAUUUUCCGUGUUAUUUUAAGGAAAAUAAUUUUAGAGUGUAUUCGAUCCCCUUAAACUAUUAAACAAGGAUAGAAUAGUUUGGGAAAAAUAUAAAAUAUGUUAAUUGUAGCGAUUCAAUACAAAAUAAACAAUGACUUCUAAAAGGUGACCAAAACAUCAAAUUUUCAAUGAUUUUUGAAAAAUGUAAAUACGCUUUAAAAUACACCAAAAAACCAUUUUAAGAUAUACAAAACAGUCCUAAAUAUCAGCCAAAAAUAUAAAAAUUUUGAUUUCCCUCGAAACACAAAUUACAAAAAUGCUCAAACUAUACCCCGUCUAAAGGCGGGGUUGGGUAUUAGAGGGUUAAACUAGUUAGAAUUUGAAUUGCUACUCGGAAUGUGCGAAUGCUCACGACAUACAUUACAGGUGAAGGGUUAUUUUCUUUGCCUGUGAGCAAUAUUCGAUAACUAAACAUUUACAACGUCAUAUUUUGGAGAGGUGACUAUGGUUCCGGAAGAAUGCACAGAACGAUUUAGUUUUACUGCAUUAUAGCCAAGUAUUACGCCCAUCGUCUCGCAUGGUGCCAAAAUCGAUGUAGGUAUCGAUGUGAGGUGUGUGUACAUAUCGAAGUUACACAGAAAGUACAAAUCGGCCAAUCCAUUCGCUAAGGUGCAGGCAGAGGUAGGUAUAUCGGAGAAAAACGCGCCGACGUUUGGCCAGUUGGCAGUUGGGAUUUCGUGGUCAGUCGCUGGCGGUCGCUCAUUCACCGCAGACCAAUUCAUUGAUGGGAAUACACUCGAGCUGAUACUCCCACGCUGGAUAACUUAUAGCUAGCGAAUUACAAUCGAAUAGUUUACCGAAUCACAUCUCUUGUUUGGCGGGCGCACUCCGAGUCGCGUGGCGAGUGAAAGAGACGAACCUGGCAAAGUCCACCAAAGGCAAAUGGGCAAUCAGAACAAUCCAAAGCAAUACACCAAAUACAGCAAGAAUACCUCGGAGUGCAAAGUGCGGAACAAGUGUCUACCAGUUCAACGAAGCAUGUUCCGAUUGGGAUCUGGAAAUCUGUUCUACCUGAUAUUAAUCAAAAUAUUCACCAUUUUGAACAACAUAGCCAGCAAGUGCUUCUGAAUUCCAUACGGUCUAGGGCUAUAACGAAUUAAAAAUAAACGGCUUUUUCUACUAUAUCUGUUAUCCCGCUGGCUGGUGACAUUCGAAUACUGAAAAAGAUUUCGGAUAUUUCUACUAAUUAAUCAGCAUUACUUUCGAUUUGAUAGAGCAAGUGCAAGUUCACGAUCGCAACAGAGUCAGCGAGAGAACGUUAACAUAGAUGUAGAUAGCAAGUGAGAGCUUAUUCUGCCGCAAGUGUGACACUGCUGUUGCAGUACCUGUGAUGAUGUGUCGUCCGCUGCAUUUGAAUUCUAAAGUGCUUCGGAUUAAUGACGCACAAUUCCGAAGGAGAGCAUUGCUGGCGAUCGACCAAAUUCUCAUCCGUUCGACGGUCGAUCGGUUGAUUUUCGGUACUACGAACACCAAAGAGGCGGUUGAAGUUGAUCGAUGAACAGCGUCGAGGCUGGGCCCUUCAUCAGUUAUGCGGAGAAAGUCGUUAAAUGUAUAACUACUAUACUGAUCGAAAGUGAUCGUCUGUUGGAUGGUGAUUGUUAAAAAUAGUAUUUACUGCAGGAUAAGUGGUUUCUGUACGGUUCGAGAGGCGAAGAACUCACAGCAAAAGAAUACCAUGAUUCCCACUGGAUACACCCGUUGGCGACAGGAAGCGUGCAUCCGUGACGUGGUAUUUGCCUUUCUGGCACUUAUGUUUCUACUCUGCUGGUGGUUUUGACCACCACAAAGGAUUCCAUCGGAUUUCUAAUGCGGUACAAGAACAAUAGAACACUCGCUUCCCACUACUUAUCGGU